rnacentral:tRNA from 1 species
UCCCAUGUGGUCUAGUGGUUAGGAUUCGUGGUUUUCACCCACGCGGCCCGGGUUCG